AUAUGAUGAUUCUAGAUGACGAGUCUUAUCCGGGUUUCCGAUGCAGACACCAUCUUACUUUACCAUUCAUGCAUUACCUGAUC
rfam:Nectria haematococca mpVI 77-13-4 chromosome 3 genomic scaffold NECHAsca_2_chr3_3_0, whole genome shotgun sequence.